rnacentral:rRNA from 1 species
GAUGAACGCUAGCUACAGGCUUAACACAUGCAAGUCGCGGGGCAGCAUGGGGGUUGCUUGCAAUCCCCGAUGGCGACCGGCGCACGGGUGAGUAACGCGUAUCCAACCUGCCCUUCACCACGGGAUAACCCGGCGAAAGUCGGACUAAUACCGUAUGUUGUCCAUUGACGGCAUCCGAUUUGGACGAAAGGUUUGGCGGUGAAGGAUGGGGAUGCGUCCGAUUAGCUGGACGGCGGGGUGACGGCCCACUGUGGCGACGAUCGGUAGGGGUUCUGAGAGGAAGGUCCCCCAAACUGGAACUGAGACACGGUCCAGACUCCUACGGGAGGCAGCAGUGAGGAAUAUUGGUCAAUGGGCGUAAGCCUGAACCAGCCAAGUAGCGUGCAGGAUGACGGCCCUAUGGGUUGUAAACUGCUUUUAUGCGGGGAUAAAGUGGCCCACGUGUGGGUUUUUGCAGGUACCGCAUGAAUAAGGACCGGCUAAUUCCGUG